AUUGAACGCUGGCGGCAGGCCUAACACAUGCAAGUCGAACGAGUGGCGGACGGGUGAGUAAUGUCUGGGAAACUGACUGAUGGAGGGGGAUAACUACUGGAAACGGUAGCUAAUACCGCAUACCAUCGGAUGUGCCUAGAUGGGAUUAGCUAGUAGGGGGGGUAAAGGCUCAACUAGGCGAUGAUCCCUAGCUGGUCUGAGAGGAUGACCAGCCACACUGUAACUGGGACACGGUCCAGAAUCCGACGGGAGGCAGCAGUGGGGAAUAUUAGAGAAUGGGCGCAAGCCUGAUGCAGCCAAGCGGGGUGUAUGAAGAGGGCCUUCGGGUUGUAAAGUACUUUCAGCGGGGAGGCGUUACCUGAAGAAGAAGCACCGGCUAACUCCGUGCCAGCAGCCGCGGUAAUAC
rnacentral:rRNA from 1 species